ensembl:snRNA U1 U1 spliceosomal RNA
AUACUUACCUAGCAAGGGAGAUACUGUGAUCAAGAAGGCAGUUCACCCAGGGCGAGGCUCAGCCAUUGCACUCCGGCUGUGCUGACCCCUGUGAAUUUCCCAAAUGUGGAAAUCUCGAUUGCAAAAUUUAUGGUAGUGGGGGACUGCGUUCGCGCUCUCCCCUG